CGUGUAAAUCACAGGAGCCAAAAGAGCUCUCAAAAACCCAAACCCUAGCUUACAAAAUUGAUCAAAUCAAGAAGGCAAAUCAGUUCCAAAACGAAAUUCGAGCUUAGAUUGGUGAUCUCCACUGUAAGGGGAUCAUAAGGCAAGGAAACCGGGACGUCAAGCGGACAAGCCGGUGGUGAUACGCGCUUGAAGGGAGUGCUUUGAAGGAAGGUUCGGAAGCAUGACAAAGAACAUGCUAGCAAAGAACUCAAAUCAAGCGAUGACUUGAGACAACGGAGUACAUCAGGGCG